GUUAUUUAUAACCACCUCUGCUAGACUCGGUCUAGGUCAGACGAGAGAGUGUUGAAGACCAAGGGAACCUGUAAGACUCGGCUGCUGCUGUGGGAAAACUGGAAAGAUUGAAUGUCCUUUGGAGUUCACAGAGGUUUGGCAGUGGGAGGAGAAAAACAAAACGAAGCAUAGUGGGAG
rnacentral:lncRNA from 1 species